rnacentral:miRNA from 14 species
GUGUGUAUAUGUCUGUGUGUAUGUCCAUGUGUGUAUGUGAAUAUACAUAUACAUACACACAUACACACACGCACGCAAGCACACACACAAAGAAAUUGA